rnacentral:sRNA from 1 species
UUGCAUCUAAAGCCAGUGAGGAUGAGAACCUCCGGGGGAAGAGGUUCGAGCCGAGCGAAGCGAGACAACGUUGCGUCAGCAACGGCCCGCUGGGCGAGCCAUGCAGUGGCGAGUAAUCCUCUAUCACCGACCA